rnacentral:lncRNA from 1 species
GUGGUUUGUUUCUUCACAUUAAAUAGACUUUCCCUGCCAAAUUCCAUUAUGGUGGGCAGGUGUUCUCACACCCCUAAGUUAGCUGUAAGUGAUUCUGUAUCCUUACUGGAACAUCCAGCUUCACAAUCCACACCAGCAUGAAGAAUGUUGGAGCUUUAAGCUUUUAUUAAUGAGUCAUGAGUAGGUCAGAACUUGCAUCCCUUGACGCUUGCUGCAACGAUUUCUCAUGAGCUUUCUUCUGACCAUUUCUCUGUUUUACAGACUGAAUGUUUUCUUGUUUGAGAUGAUCCCAGUGGAAUUAACCAAAGAAGCCUAGAACCAAAUAAGGGAAGGAGUAUGUUUCCAGUACCUGCCUCUGUGGGUGUAAUAUGACCUCCAUGUGUGCUCUGGGACACACAGUGUUGCUUCACUCAGCUUCCGGAGCUGCUGAACUAGUGCCUAUUUCAAGGAAAGACUAAAUUCUUCUUUCCCCAAUGAACUGCAUGUUGAGAAAAAACAAAAGUCAUAUUUACUUGGAAGUCCUUCGUGUGCUAGAAAUACAAACACUAUGAACAUUAGUUACAGAUGCAGAAGGCCUGACAUGAAUAAUCAGUGGCAUCUCCCCAACCACCCUUACCUAGCUGCCCAUGGAAGCGUUAUCCUCUCUUUUCAAAGCACUUUCAAAGUUACAACUUUUUGAUUUUACAAAAACUAUUGUGAAAUGUAUCAUUCAUAUAAAAAGAAUAUAUAAUGAGAGUAACUUUAAAGACUAAUAAUUAUGUAAACAUUCAUAAAGUUUUCCACCCAGAUGAAACAAUGGAGCAUUGUCAUGAACCUUACAGUCCCCUGUCUGUCCCCGCCUGAAUUAUCUUCCUCUCUGUCCUCAACAGAUGUGAUCACCACUUUGAAUUUUUUGUUAAUCAUUCUUGCUUUACUUUCUCAAAUGGCUGGCUGUAUUAGGGUUGUCCAGAGUAACAAAUGAGUAGGAUGCCCAUAAAAUAUAGAAAACUAUUUAUUAUAAGGAACAGACUCACAAUUAUGGACACUAACAAGUCCUAAUAUUUUCAGGGUGAGUCAGCAAACUGGAGGCCCAGGAAAUCGAAGAUGUUGUCAUAGUGUGAAGGCUGGCAGACUCGAUGCUCAGGAAGAGUUGAUGUUUCAGUUGGAGUCCAAAAGCAGGAAAAAAGCUGUUGUCCCAGUUUUAAAGCCAUCAGAUGGGAAGAAUUCUCACUUGGCUGGGGGAAGCACUGGAGAUGUGACAAGGAAGAAAAUCUGACUUGGGGAUUAUUAGAGGACAAAAGAAGACAUUGAAAGAACCAUCUCAUAGGUGGUUGAACAAGAGAAUAGUAAAAUCAAAAAGUGAUCUAUGGCCUGCUUCCUGACAAGAUGGAAUAACAGGACUUGAUUAUACUCCCUCUCCACCCUACACCACCCUCUACUCUUAAGAGUGAAAUAAACAGAAA